rnacentral:rRNA from 1 species
UACGUAGGGUGCGAGCGUUGUCCGGAAUUAUUGGGCGUAAAGAGCCUGUAGGCGGUUUGUCGCGUCUGCUGUGAAAUUCCAGGGCUUAACCCUGGGCUUGCAGUGGGUACGGGCAGACUAGAGUGUGGUAGGGGAGACUGGAAUUCCUGGUGUAGCGGUGAAAUGCGCAGAUAUCGGGAAGAACACCCGUGGCGAAGGCGGCUCUCUGGACCGACACUGACGCUGAGGCGCGAAAGCGUGGGGAGCAAACAGG